rnacentral:siRNA from 1 species
CGAUGAGGGAGACGGCGAUAGUGA